rnacentral:tRNA from 1 species
GUAGUUUUGGCCGAGUGGUUAAGGCGAUGGACUUGAAAUCCAUUGGGGUCUCCCCGCGCAGGUUCAAAUCUACG